UACGUAGGCAGCAAGCGUUGUUCGGAGUUACUGGGCGUAAAGGGUGCGUAGGCGGCUUUUUAAGUUUGGUGUGAAAUCUCCCGGCUCAACUGGGAGGGUGCGCCGAAUACUGAGAGGCUAGAGUGUGGGAGAGGAAAGUGGAAUUCCUGGUGUGAGACGGUGAAAUGCGUAGAUAUCAGGAGGAACACCGGUGGUGUAAACGCUUUCUGGACCAUAAACUGACGCUGAGGCACGAAAAAGCGUGGGGGUAGCAAAACAGG
rnacentral:rRNA from 1 species